ACAGAAUGAGAGAUAAGGAACUCUCUUUCUAAAUAUAUUUUCAAUCCAUAAGGAGGGAUUUGA
rnacentral:sRNA from 1 species